CAUAUGACCCUGACCAUUUUAUCGCACCCAAUAAAGCCUAGAUCUCUGCUCCUCGUCUCUUUUCAUCAACCGAAAGAGCUUUGUAGUUGACUUUCCAUUGAAUGUUGGUGAAGGCAAUACAUUUAACGGAGAAACCAAACCAGAAAGCCCAGAACAUAUCCAUUGAGAAAAAAUCAAAAGCGGUGGUGGCCGGAAAAGCUUUCGCUAGCAGUAGUAAGACGUGUAAUUUGCAUCAGCAGGGCCGUCAUGAGUCAGCUUCAGCACCACAGGGGCGGCGGCCAUGUAACCAUCAUAAUUUCAAAUAGGUUAGGCAAAGCCGCUUAGGCCACCACCCACCUCUCUCGUCUGUGCUGGAUUUUAGAUCUAACCAGACAAUGACGCAAUUCCGAUUAUAAUUCGAACAACAUUGAAGCUGGCUUCUUUUCAUUUUCUUUUCCUUUUUAAAGUAACCUUUCUCAAGUAGUGUACUUCGCAAGUUUGAGAUCGGCUGUAAUUUGGGCAAAUUGCAAAUAAUAAGGUAGUGAUGUCAUAUUGCUAAGUUUCGGUAGACCAGAAUUUGUGGGCAGGAAGAAUUACGUGUACCACCUGCAUCUGCUUGCUUUCCCACAGCCCACCAUCGGUUGGAUUGGUAAGGGUAAUUUGGACAUUUUACCUACGAAACGUCAUGGUGGGUGCUUUCCGUCUAUUUGACACUUCAACCCAAACCACAGGGAGUUUAUAUAUAGCUUUUUGAACCAUGGGGUUAUGUGGUUUUUGCGAAAACCACAGGAGGCUAAAAUGCAUCGCGUGUUAUUUGGCACAAGUGCGUUCAGCAUGCAUGCAUAUACCUUAGGUGGGGGCCUGAGGUUUCUGUAAUGACUUCAAGAACUCAUUGAACGGAUUAACUUUGAAUUGAGUUGUUGAAUAUAUUGGCAAGGGGUAAAAUUAA